GGGACGUAAGGCAAAAUGUACAGCUCUUGGCAUCCAGACCAGAAGGGCCAGUUGUGACCUGGAGGCCAGCCAAUGUCAACUAACCAGGUGCCCGAGGUCACACAUACGGCACGGGUCUCACGCACAACAUUCUUUGGCUCGGGGGUGGUCAGUUAUGCAGGACAAAUCGCUGAGGCCUCCACCAUGUAGGACAAUGGUUUAGAUACAAUGGCUUCAAAAAUUAUGGAGUUAAAAAGGUAAAAAGUUUAGCUCGAUUCUGGACACCUUGGGUGUCUUAUCAUCUGUGAAUUUCUGAUACAUGUGUCCUGCGGGGAGUUGGACUUCUGUUCUAUACCACACAGGACACGGUGGAGUAUGUGAAGUGAUUUUUUUCCAAAAGUCAAUGGCAUAAACAAGAGGGAAAUUAUUCAAAUAAAUGUGUAAGAAAGUCCGCCACGUCCUACCCAAAAAUUUCCAAGCAAGUCUGGUCAGGUUGGUCAAAGGGACCAUGAGGUUCAUGAAGUUCAUGAGUCAUAUGAACUGUUCCCAGCUCUGAGUAAGUUUGGAGAUGAACUCUUUGAGACU
rnacentral:lncRNA from 12 species